rnacentral:rRNA from 1 species
GAUGAACGCUGGCGGCGUGCUUAACACAUGCAAGUCGAACGGCAAGGCCCAAGCUUGCUUGGGUACUCGAGUGGCGAACGGGUGAGUAACACGUGGGUGAUCUGCCCUGCACUUCGGGAUAAGCCUGGGAAACUGGGUCUAAUACCGGACAGGACCACAUCUUGGGUGGUGUGGUGGAAAGCUUUUCGCUGUGGGCUGAGCUGGCGGCCUAUCAGCUUGUUGGUGGGGUAAUGGGCAACCAAGGUGCCGACGGGUAGCCGGACACAGGGGGUGUACGGCCACACUGAGUCCUACAGGAGGCCCAGGCGCGGACGGGUGGCAGCAGUGCGCAAGCUUGAACCAUGGGUACAGCGCGGAUGCAGCGGGGCCGCGUGUGGGAUGACCGUCUUCGUGUUGUAGAAACCUUUCGCUAGGGAAGAAGCGUUUUGUGACGGUACCUGGAGAAGAAGCACCGGCUAACUACGUG